AAAAAAAAAAAAGAAAAAGUUUUGGACAGUGGACGCCAGCAAUACCCAUGAUCCUCAGCCUCCGUUGCUAUGGAGACGGAGCCAGCCUGCUUUGCGAUUGGGUGAAUUCUUGUCAUUGCGCUCAAACCACUGUUCAUUAAGGUACCGGGCUAAUAAUUAAUGAGCACGUUUUGUUUAAAUCUUAUAAUUGAUCCCUUUCUUUGCCCUUAGACUCACGUGGUUUUCAUAUUAGGACAACGAUUAAAGCCCGACCAAUGGUUUCCUCAUUAUCAGCGGGAAAAAAAAAACAUACACUUGUGAAAUUAGGCUAAACGGCCUAGCAAACUUAAGUAUAAGCUAACUCUCGGUUAUAUCAGCUUAAGGGUAACCUAGCGUGGAGCACUGCAUUAUUGUGUGGGUCAAGGGUGAUUUUAUCUCAAUCAUCAUGACCUUAUGUUUCAGUCGUAUCCAAAAUGAGAAAAUGUGAACAUUAUGGACGCUAAACACGCUGAAGCAGUGUAAUGAUUCAUUCAUACUCGACGCUGGAGGGCGCUCUUGCGCAGAAAGUACUAAAAAACUCCUAAAGUAAUAACGAGUGACGUGCCAGGAAAUCCCUAAUAUUGACAAAGGUAUCCAGCUAUUGCUGUAGCUCUGCUGAAUAAAAACAGAAACGUUGUGACUGAUGAAAGGACGAAAGACAAAUAUAUGAAAUAUAUGAUCCUGUCAAAGAAAUCACCUGUCCAAAUCUUGUCCGAACCUGUCCGAAUCUAACCGAACCCAAAGGCACUUUUAAGAGCCAAAUCUUCUAUCUAUCUAUCUAUCUAUCUAUCUAUCUAUCUAUCUGUCUGUCUGUCUGUCUGUCUGUCUAUCUAUCUAUCUAUCUAUCAUCUAUAUAUCUAUCUAUCUCUAUCAUUUUCUGUCUCUAUCUCUCGCAAUGCCAGGGGGGUCUACAAAAAAGAUUUGUCCCUUCUGUCAGGGCAUUUUAUUCUGCGCCCAGAAGGUCUGUUCAAAUUGUAAAAAAGAACAGCCUGUGAAGCAGCGGCUCAAGAAGAAGCUUCAGCAGUUUAAUGAAAAGCGAGAACAAUGGGUGGUUGGCCGUAAGAGAAACCACAACAUUGCAUCAAUCAAGGAUGAAGCCAUUGUCAUGCUUGAGAAACUCCAUGCCAUAGGAUACAAGCCAGUUCUGCUUCUUGGCAAGGAGACCAAAAAAAAAAAAAAUAAGUGUGAAAUUUUAACCCCUCGAUGCACACUUUCCACCUAUGCCAAGGACUUCCUUCAGAAGAUAGGUUCAUUUUAUGAAUACCUUUGUGAAGUUAAGAUGCAUGCACUAUAUUUUUUAAAGUCACAGUUCACAACUUGUGUUGAGUAUGCAAAAGAUUUGUAUUAAUGUUUUCUAAAUCUUAAAGGAAUGGCUCCCCCCUACAACCUGGGUUAGGAGUCAUGAACUCCUAACCUUCUUGACAGUAGAAACUUUGGAGAGGUUUAAAUUUUUAUAUAACCAACACAUGUUAGCAUGUUAGCUGAUUCUUUUCCCACAGUUAAAGUUUUUUAAUCUUUUUCUUAUCGUAAUUAUCAGUCAUUGUUGGCUAAAUUUUAAUUUUAGGGUGAUCCAUCCCUAAAACAAUGUUCUUAUUCACCUUUUAAAAGAGAGCAAGAUUUAAGGAAUGAUGGGAAGAGCAGUUUUCCAGUACCACAUUUGCAGUUUGUCACCCACAAACCCACAAAAUUGGACUGUAUGAUUCAAACAGCUUGACACUUGAAACAUAGAGGUUAACCAUGAGUUUGAACCAUGCCUGUUUUAAGUAAGCAAAACAUAACACUUGUUUAACUUGCACAGGUUGGGACCAGGAUUCCAGUGGCAGUGAUGCUGAACUGAUUACACUGCACCUCACACCCUGUGACCCAUUGGAGGGGCAGGAGGAACAGGCAAUCAUUAUGGAGGGGGAGGAGGAGCAGGCGAUCGUUACGGAGGGGCAGGAGGAGCAGGCAGAGCAGGCAACCAUUACAGAGGGGCCUAAGGAGCAGAUGAACGGUAUGGAGGGCCAAGGGUCAGCCAUGGGCACAGUUGAUCUCAGUUGCAAAAAGAGAAAGUCAGAGGGACCAAGGCAUAUGCCUAAGAUUAAAAAGCCACAAAAGA